AGACUUCUGUGAGGCAAGUUAAGGACAUAGGAUUUGCAUAGAAUGAGACUGACAAGGCCAUGAAGCAUCUAAUCAGCUUGUCAGCUGCAUCCUGCAGGUUGCUACGACAAAAGAUUUUCUCCAAAAUAUACAGGAUGCCAUGGAGACUGACUGAAAAAAAGCUCUUAAUCCCUGCUUUGCUGGUGCUGACAGGAGAAUAGAUCUCUAGACACAUAGCAUAUUUGGUAAGCAGGAAGCUGGAGACUGAGGUGGUCAAAAGGGUGAAAACUUGCCUGUCUGUGGCAGUCCAGCUUUUCCUCAUAACUAUAUCACAGGAUAUUAAUUUGCCAAACAGGCUAUAAUCCAGCUACAAAAAUCUGGGCUUUGGGGAUUGCUAGUCAUGAAGCACAUGACUUUACAGAAAAGCUGGUGAAUGGUUUUAUGCCAGGAACGGUGCAAAAUAAACUCACUUAGCAACCUGAGAGAAUAUUUACAGUCUACAGAUUUAACUACACAGAUGUAGAGGAAGGUGAGCCCUCCAUCUUCUGUAAUUUGAGACGACUCAAAGAAUGCUUCUUGGAGAGAAUUCCAUUUUAAUUUUUUCCCUGUUUUUUACUUAAUACACUUCUAAUGCCGUACACUUGUGUUGUUCUUACUUGAACAUCAACGAUUUUUAUGUUGGAGUUGUAUGAUAAACUUGCAUUUGAUUGACAUCAAGUUAUGCAGGUCACAGAUCCAUAAUCCAAAACUUACAGCAAUCUUGGCUCAGACAGGUUUAUUAGAUAAAGCGCAGUGUCCCACCUAUUGCUUUUAUUUCUACCUGCUACCAUUCUGGAGUAGUGAAUUUUGGAGAGAUCACAUUAUUUUUCUGUGGAAAUGUAUAUGUUUCUAUUUCAGGAAUUGCUAAUCAGACAAGGAAGGGAAAUUCUCCUUAACAAGUGUCAGGCCCAGUGGAGCUUCUGCCGUGCAUGAUCCAAACUAACUCCAGGAAGAGCAGCUGUCCUUGCUCUCUUCCUGUAGGGAUGAGGAGGCUCCUGUGCUGGGGCCAGCCCUGGUAAGAAAAAGGGAGGAUGUUGCUGGCGUCCUAAGUAGCGGUCUCAUCAAUGCUACAGUGCACUCAGCAGGACCCAAACUGAUGUCUGAUGAUGUCUGUGCUUUGUCGGUGUCCUAAAUGACUCAGGGGACACUGAACUAUUGUGUCACUCAAGCUUGUUCAUAAUUUAGGAUAACUUGGUUCCUACAAUCACAGCAAUAGAGACACAAUUGAAUUAAUCUAUUUAUGCUGCAUAACUUGGCACCUCUGAAACUGUUGCUGAAUGAUUUCGUAUUCCUUGUAGAGAUCCAAUAAAAUCUGUAGAAAAGAGCAAUAAACACUAGCAACAGAUCAUUUCAGUUUUAGUGCAGUAUAUUUCUUUGUGACUGUAAGAAGGAUAACGUGCAUGAAAAAAAUAAAUGACCCUUCUCCUUGACUGCGAAGUGUUGCUGAUUUUUCUUACUGUCCUUCUAAGUAAGAAACUUCAGUUUCUCUUUCAGGAGGGCUAAAUUGAUGGUAAUGUUGACAGACAAAAAGAAAAUCAAUUACAUUUUCAAUGCAGAUAUUAAUUUAGAGGUGGUCUGUGGACUAAUGUUACAAGAAAUUUUACUUUAAAAUUACAUUAUGACUGACUAACAUUAAUCUGUUUCAUUUGUAAGGUAUGCAUACUAAAUAACUGAUAUAAAUAGUUGCUCCUAUUGAAAAAACACUCAACUACCAAUAAAAUUCAAGUAUAAAACCGAUGAGACAGCUUUUUAGGCACCACCCCAAUUACUCCAGGAGUUCACAAAGCAACAUCUGCAGUCAUUAAAUAGUAUCUAUUUACUGUAGAAUUUACUGAUUAGAGCAAUUAAUCUCUUAAAACAUUUGCUUUGACUCCCUUAGAGCACACAUCUCUCUCAGGCUAUUGAAGCAUUUCUCUGGCUGCAUAUUCUAAGUCAAGAAGAUACCCACUGAUUCAGUAGACUUUGGAUUAGUUCCUUGGCUGUUGUUCAAUACAGCAUGGAAAACUUUUCCCUAUCUGUCAUGUGCUAAGUAUGGAAUACGAUCACACAAUCUCUAUGCAGUGUUCAUACUGCUUCUUACAUCUUGAUAGAAUCCAGAGUAACAGACAGCUCAGCUGUGCUACAUAAUGGAAAAGAAUGAAUAAAACAAGUAGAUCAGGGUCUGUACAAUAUAAUGCAGAAGUACCAUUGCAAGGAGCCAGCCAAUGUUACAAAUCCUGUUUCAGUGCUGGGCUUGCAAGACUCAGGCUAUUCUCCAGAAUUCUUGAUUGUGAACUUUAACUCAUGCACAGAUAAAACUUGGAUCCAUUGAGCCUAUUACUCAAAGCUCUGUGGGAAAGUAGGUGUACAUCUGGGUCUGUUCCAGCCCUGGAAGCAGUACAGCUGUAUUAACAAUGUGCUUCGUGUAUCACUAAAUGCCCUGCUGGACUUGAUGUUUUGUAUCCCUAGCACGGAUGAUCAACAGAGCACAUUACCUGCUUAAGGAUAAAUGAGAGUUGGCUGCAUUUGCCAAAUGUGAAUCAGUGUUUCUGUUAGAUGUAGUGUGUAAACUUGAAGUUAUAUACAGUUCUUUUAGACCACCAGUUCCAUAGGAUUCUUAUUAUCUUUUUGAUUGUUAAUAAUAAUAAAAAAAAGAAUGUUGGCAAGAAAAACAACUGUAGGCUAAUCACAUAUCAAAAAAUGUUAUUAAAAAUAAAAUUAUAUCUCAAAGUUUUUAAUAGGUUUUUGCUGUAAUAUAAUUACAUACUAAAAACAAAUUGAAAAUUGGUAUUUUAUCACAGAAUCAUAGAAUAUCUUGGGUUGGAAAGAACCUUAAAGUCUACCUAGUUCCAACCUCUGCUUUGGGCAUGGCUGCCACCCCCCAGCUCAGCUGCCCAGGCCCCAUCUAACUUGGUUUCCAAUACCUCCAGGGAUGGGGCACUCACAAUUUCUCUGGGCAGUUGUGCCAGUGCCUCACCACCCUCUGAGAAAAAAGAAAUCCUGAUGUGUAAUCUAAAUCUCCUACCUUUUAGUUUGAAAACAUUACCCCAAGUGAUGAUUAAAGUAUUGUAUUAAAUGCUUCCUUACAUUGCUAUAAGAGGGCCUGAACCUUGGAGAUUAAAUGGAAGAAAAAGAAAAAGCCAGUGUAAGAUGUAGUAAGUAAGAAUAAGAGUAAAUAUUUGAAAUGUAUUGGAGCAGGUCCGGAGGAGGACCAUGAAGAUGAUCAGAGGGCUGGAACAUCUCCCACAUGAGGACAGCCUGAGAGAGCUGGGGUGCUUCAGUAUGGAGAAGGCUCUGAGGAGACCUUAUAGUGGCCUUCCAGUACCUGAAGUAUGCCUACAGGAAAGCUGGGGAGGGACUUUUUGUAAGAGCUACAGGAUGAGGGGAAAUGGUUUUAAACUGAAAGAGGGUAGAUUUAGAUUAGAUAUUAUGAAGAAAUUCUUAACUGUGAGGGUGGUGAGACACUGGAACAGGUUGCCCAGUGAGGUUGUGAAUGACCCUUCCCUGGACGCAUUCAAGGCCAGGCUGGAUGGGGCUGUGAACAACCUGGUGUAGAGGGACAUAUCCCUGCCUACAGCAGGGGGAUUGGAACUAGGUGAUCUUAAAGGUCCCUUCCAACCCAAACCAUUCUAUGAUUCUAUUCUAUGAAAUUAAUUAGUUAAUAAUAAUAGUUCUGUAUUGUAAUUGAAAGCCUUAAAAAAAAGUAUAUUCUUACAUAUGAUCAAAGUAUAUCACAAAGAAACAGAAAAAAAAAAAAAGCUAAAGAAAGGUCAAUGUCAGUUGAAGUUAUUCAGGACAGUAUAUCAGUGGAUAUAUAUAUCAUGGAUCCAUUUAAUCAUGUUGAUCUGUUGAACUGCAGGUAUGCAGAUUCAAAUAAGAUAAUUCUGAGAUUCAGAAUUAUAUUUACAGUUCAUUUUAAAAUGCUGGCCCAAGGAAAAUUAUUGUUGUCUGGCAAAGUAUCUCUUAGUCUGUUAUUCUGCUUUGUACAAAUGUAUUUAAAACAAAUGUAUGUAUGUCGAAGGACAUUUGAAAGACAGGGAUUUUUAGUAGAAAUUUUGUGUGAGUCUUCUGAAUCUACUCAGAAAUUUAAAAUAUCAGGAGCCUUACAGGAUUUACCUUCCCAAGGAUUGACAAACAGGCUGAUUCGGUAAGAUGAAACAGUAAUUAAGUACUUUCAUAUAUUCAGUUCCAGACGGGUUAGUAACACAUUCCAAGCUGAUAUGAAUGGCACAAUUUGUCCUCUGGAAUUGCAUCUUUCUCUCCACUAAGAAUGAAGUGAAGGCCAGAGAGGUGAAGCUCCAUUCCUAUAACCAGGCUUGCACAUCUUUACACUCUGUAAGUCUGGCUCAGCUACAGAUACUUAUGCACACGAAUAACCUUUUCACAUCAAUAUCCUCCUGAAGACCACAGAGUAACAGUUAACUGAAGAAAAGAAUGUGUAUACAUCUCUAGGGUCAUACCUCAUUCUGUGUCUCUAUUUUUGAAUAUGUUUCCAAUUCAGAGGUUACUGUUAAAAAUUCUUGCACAUCAUAAGGCUUAUGUUCAGGAAAGAGGGUGUCAUCAAUGACUGUGUAUCUCAGGGCAUUAUGUCCUUUCUAAGGAAACAGAAAACUGUGGUGAGUAGCAGCGAAGAAAUUGUCUAGUAUAAAACUGAAACUGAAAUUUAUUUUCAAAGUGGAGAAAAGGGGGUGCCAAGAAGGAACACUUGCCUGAUCCAAACACACUGGCAUCUACUUUGGUGUUUUUAGUUCAGACUGUGAAUCCAAAAUAUAAUCCUGUUUUCAUUGACAGUGAAGAUCUUAACCAGCAUAGAUAUUGGCUUGGAUUGCCCAACCAAAAUCCCAGGAGUUGCUCAUUAAUUCAGCAAGCCACAUUUCCUGUAAGAGAGAAUUACCUGAAGAUAGAUUGACAAUGGUGAUCUGUUUCAGUCUCUUUCAUUACUAGAUGCUUUAGCUAUUGUUUUUCCCUGGGACAAUAGUUUUUAUUACUGCUUAUCCAUAUUUCCAGAAAUAUAGCAAAUCAUGUGCAUCUUGAAAUAAAAUGGAAGCAUGAAAAUGAUACUAAAAAUCAUUCAAAAGUCGUUGAAAAUAAAAUAUUUGUUUGUUUCAGACUUAGAAAAUAUACAGCCAGACAAUAUAAAUUAGGUAAUUUCCUUACCUGUUUCACUCUAACCUAGACAGGUUCAACAAGUUCAGAAACACUGGUGAAAAGGCAAGAUAAGAGGUAGGUAGUCUGGGCUAGCUUGUGUAUGUAUAUUCAUGAGGUGGGAUGACUGUCAGUGAGAUAUUGGUGGGAGUACUGGGUCACUUGCCUGGGUUUUGGAAUGAAAUAUCCAAAGAAAAACCAUCUUGUGUGAUCUUGAAAAUCAAUUCAUUAACAGGAAAGCUGUGUCACAUGGAGUAGUGCAUAUUAUUUCUAUUUGUAAAUAUUUUCAAGAUGCGAAAAUGACAAAGAAGGCCACACAAAUACUGUAAAAAAAGAUAGAAAUAACAGAUCCAGUACUUAUUUAGGAAAGUAAACAAAACAAAACAAAUAAACAUUUCUUUUCUCUUUUGUUUGGUGACACUCCGGCUGCAAAAAUUAGAGUUAUGGCUCUUCUAACUUCCCAGUACAAAAGAAAUACUGUUCUUUGUUCUGUCCGAAUGCCUAGGUUUUCAUGGGUUGGGUUUUCAUGGGUUGGGUUUUCAUGACUCAUUUCUCCUUUACUGCAUCUGGGUGCUGGUACCUGGAGAAAUGAAUAAGAAUGGGUAGAACAUACCCGUCUUGGUUAUCCUGCAAAUCUGAAAGUGUUUUGAUAUUCUGGUCCACACUGAUGGCAUGAGUAGUUUUUCUCUUUUAUCUCUGUCAAGAAUUUUUAGAUUUGAGAUAUCUGCUUUACAAUUCAGGUGGAGCAUGAGAGAGAACCUGGGCUGAAGUUAAAUAUGUCACAUCCAGAACACAGCAUGAAUAAUUUUCCUCUGAUUUACAGUUUGGUGUAACUUGUUAUGAAGAUGUCAGUAGUUUGUCUUUUUCUCCUUUUAAAGUGGUGACACAGUGAAUGACCAGAACAUGCUCUCUGCAUUGAUUAGUAGUAGAAGCUUUAGCAUGACUAGCUCUAAACAGACAUUUGAAAGACGAGAGAGAAGAAUUUUUUAAAAUGGCACAGUGUGAAAAUUUCACUUGUAGGGUCUUUAUAUGGAGCAAAGAGGUUAUCCACCUAAGGACAAAUAUAAAGUGCAAUGAAAGCUCAAUUUAAAAGCAAGACACCUGCAGCUUGCAGCUCAAUAAACUCUUUUUUUUUCUUUUUUUCUUUUUUUUUUGGGGGGGGGAGGAAAAUUAAUAGUGAAAGAUUGAGACUAAUUUUCAUGUUUUUAACUUCAAUACUCAAGUAUUAUCUGUUCAUCCAAUGUUUUGCUGCAACCUGUGGUUACUGUGUCUACCAUCCACACUAGACGAUGGGAAGAGGACCUGCACAAUAGGAAAUGUUCUUGCUUAACCCCAGGCAACAGCCCUAACUGAGCAUGAUAAUUCAAAAGAAGGAUUGAUCAAAAUGGGAAACUGCAGACCUCUGGUGACAUUGCAAAUGAGGUGAAGGAAACAGCACAAUUAUUUGUGUAGAUAUGGUGGCAUGGCAUCCCCCUGGAAUUCAGGCUGAGACAGGGAGACUUGGGCAACUCCUAGAAGAGACCAGUAAAGCCAGUUGCAGAACAAACUCUGUCUUCCUUUGUAUCUCAUAUUUUUCACCUGAUUUUAAAUAUGCUUUUCUCUCCACUCCUGCUGUAACGGUAAGCAGGAAUUUAUUCUUAGUUCCUAAAACAGAAGCAGGAAAGCAGUGUUAAUAAUUACUUUUACAAAUCUGUAAUGAGAUAAAAAAAACAAGUGCCUUAACCUAGGUAGAGAAGAAUUAUUUGUGGGGCUUUAGCUUUCUUUCAAUUAAGAACAAAAAUCAGAAGGAAUUCCAGUUAGAAAAAAAUGAACUUAAAAUUUUACUACGAUUGAGAAGACUCAAUAUCACAACAGUAAUACUCAGAUUGCCCAGCCUAGUGUGAAUACAGAAACAUGGGAAUAUAGUUUAUGUCUCAGCUGGAAUCAGCUUGCUCAUAUCUAUGAUACUCAAAAUUGUAUGAACUAUAUGAACAUCACUGUUUUGCUUGAUUCCUGUAAGCACAUCAUGCAACUGAGUUCUGGUGAGGAGGAAGCAAUGCUAUUUGCCUUUAUAUUAUGUGAUUUGGGUGGGAGGGCUGUGUUGUUUCUGUUGUUGUUUUUUCUUGGCAUUUGUGUUGAUAUAAUAUAUAUUCGUCAUUUAUAAUAUGCCAGUAAAAAUCUGUUAAAGAUGCUGUCGUUGAGUUACUCAAGUACAAAAAGCUUGCAGAAAUAGUAUUCUCCAAGUUUACUGUAAUUUUCAAGAAGCUUAUAAAAUGUAUAUACAUUUGAAGGGUUAGUUGAGAAAUUUCCCACUAGUCAUUGCUGCUAUAGUUAUGUUGUAUGAACAAAAGGCAACAUGUUUACUGUCUUUGUUUUGCUUUUUCAGGCUCUGUAAUCUGCAGUGAACCAUGCACUGAAUUUCUGCCUCUGCAGUAUGAGACUGAGAGGAAGAAUGCAUGGAGUGAUACCCCAGAUGCAGUGUGGGAGUGUUUGCUGAGCUACACCAGACUACACCAGAAAGAGAGGAAAAUUCUCUUUACACUGGAUAACUUAAAACUGCACUGAUUCCAAGAAACUGCAUUGACUCCAAGAACUGAUGAAGGAACUUGACAAGUAUCAUGUAAACGUCUCCUGGCACAGAGAUAUGACUUGGCCUAAGAGAUACCCUUCAUGACUGUUGUCUAAUACCAACAUGUUUUAAAUGGCACCCUUAUGUCUAGCAUUGCUUUUGGCCUUUCUCCUCCUCACAUCCUCAUAGCCUUAGCAAUGUCUAGCUGUGGGUAUUCCUCCAACCCCAUAUCAUCCACUCUUUAAAUUGAAUUGGAAGAUUUGGACGCUUUUCUUUCAUUAAAAUGUAAAACAAACAAAAGAAAAAAAUUGAAACAACAACAACAAAACAAACAAACAAACAAACAAAAAAACCAACCCACAAACAAAACCAAAACAAAACAGAACACAGGUUGAACUAUGACAGCACACACGUCAGUGCAACCCAGGCUCAGGUCUUUCUGGCAGAUACCUGGCAAGGAGUGCGCAAGUAUGACAAUGGUGCAGUGGUAUUCUGCUGUAACACCAUCCUGCCCUUGUGCUGUGCUCUGUAAGGGAUGUAGGCUUUGUGACUGCUUGGCUCAGUGCACAGACAGUGUUUCAUGAUCUUGAAAGUUUUACCAAAUUAACAAUCUUUACUGAAGCAUAGAUGUAGCGGAGCCUCAUCCAACACUAUGAAUAGGAUAAACAUGCUGGGUUACAUUCAUUUUGCACUUCAUAUUUGUAUAUAAAUCUAAAAUAACUCUGUAAAAACAUGAAAAGUAAGUUUGCACAGUGAAGGCAAAAGGAUGCACUGGUCAGGAUGCGCUCACUUUUUAGGCUUUCAGAUGAGGUAUCUUAAAUAGGAGCUUAAUUCCUCCAGGUGCUCUUCUCAAAGGAAAUACAGAUGUCUUCCACAUAAAGGAUCAGCUUUGUAUAGAAAAGGUCACUGAAGUUACUCCAAUUAUGUUUUCUAAGAAUUAUGGUUUAUCUGUCAUUUGCUACAAAUUGUCUCAUUGUCUUCCUGCCUCUGAACACCUCAACUGCUGAAUUUCUUAAAAAAAUAAAUAAAUAAAAUGAAAUUGCACCCAGAGUUAUUUUCUGGUCCUUUUAUAAAAGACUGAAUGGUAAACGCACAGGUUACAUUUCUGUGUUGUCAUCUUUUGGUCUGACUGUUACUCUCCUAUGAGAACUGAUCUCACUCUCUGGUUAAUAACUAACACUUGUAAGGUAUCAAAAACAUCAUUCAUUCACAUUUUUUUCUUAAAUACAGAAUUAAUUUAAUUCACAAUGAACUUUCCUCUUAUUGUAGUAGCUUUCAGUUUUUGUGUAUAUUUUAUACUCCUCAAAUGCCUUAAUAAAAAAUUUUGGUUUGAGCUAGUCAAACAGAUGUCAUAGCAGAAAUAAGCCAUACUGUUUUAUGACCACACAAUGACCUUGACUUUGCCA